rnacentral:tRNA from 1 species
CCCUGGUUGCUCAGAUGGUAAAGAAUCUGCCUGCAAUGCAGGAGACCCAGGUUCAUAUCCUAGAUCGGGAA